GAGUUAGUACAUUAAUUGGUAAAGAACUUUCCUGUCAAGAAAGUGUAUGCCGGAUCGAAGCCGGUCUAACUCG
rnacentral:tRNA from 1 species